AAUAAUAUGUAACUUUUAUAUUGACAUGCAAAAUGUAUAGUUUAAUUGGCAGCAAUUGUUGGUUCACAUGGUAAAUUUAAUUAAUAUUCAUUAAUGGCCUUCUUUUUUCUAGACAUCACUGGAUCCAUUUUUGUCAUUUUUAUGAAUUUUCACUAUUUAAUGAAAUAUUUUAUUCACUAUUGAAAGCAAUAUGCCUGUCAACUAUGAGGUAGCGAGUUUAAAUCAUGCACAUGGUAAUUGUAAAUUUUCCUACUGAUGUAUGUGGUUUUCUACAGGCACUCAGAUUUCAGCCAACAAUAAAAACUGGCCGCUAUAAAAUAUCCAAUAGUGCUGAAAGUGGUGUAAAACACUGAUCAACCAAUCAUCAAUCACAUUUUUAUUCAAUAUUUUAUGUAUUCAUCAUUUAUGAAGUUAAACAAAGCACCCACCUAGAGUUUGUGAUGUCCACCUUAUCCCCAUGUCUUUCAAAACACCAAACAUUCCUUCCAUUGUUUAGAUCAGCUUCGCUAGCCAAGGUUUAUGAUCCAUUCCCUUUCUCUUCAGGAGGAAAGAAGGGGACUAGAUCGUAACCCUUAGCUAGCAAAGAUGUGUUUAGACAUAUUAUUAUGUUGAUUGAGACAUUUAAAUUUGUACACCAAAUUGUUUAUUUUUGAUAAUGUCUUUGUACACCCUUUAGAGUUUGUUAAUUGUUAAAUAUCAAUAAAUUUUAUCAUAAAACAG
rnacentral:lncRNA from 1 species